UACAGAGACUGCGAGCGUUAUUCGGAUUCACUGGGCGUAAAGGGUGCGCAGGCGGCCAGGUGUGUGGGGCGUGAAAGCCCGGGGCUCAACCCCGGAAUUGCACCUCAAACUACAUGGCUAGAGUACUGGAGAGGGAGACGGAAUUCACGGUGUAGCAGUGAAAUGCGUAGAUAUCGUGAGGAACACCAGAGGCGAAGGCGGUCUCCUGGACAGUUACUGACGCUCGAGGCACGGAAAGCGUGGGGAGCAAAAGGG
rnacentral:rRNA from 1 species